CCAUGGCCUGGGCUCCUCUCCUCCUCGUGAUCCUCUCUCACUGCACAGGUAGGGACAGGCACGGGGACCCUGCUCAUCCUUUUGUAUCUCUCCUCUCUUGCUCAGAAUUCGUAGAAUGGUACAGUUUCUUGACCAAGUAUUCAGUAUGUCUUUGUCUGCAGGUUCCCUCUCCCAGCCUGUGCUGACUCAGCCGCCCUCCCUCUCGGUGUCUCCUGGAGCCACAGCCAGACUCACCUGCACCCUCAGCAGUGGCAUCAGUGUUGGUGGCUACUACAUAAAGUGGUUCCAGCAGAAGCCAGGGAGCCCUCCCCGGUAUCUGCUGGAGUAUAAAUCAGACUCAGAGAAGCACCAGGCCUCUGGGGUCCCCAGCCGCUUCUCUGGAUCCAAGGAUGCAUCGGCCAAUGCAGGGCUCCUGACCAUCUCUGGACUGCAGCCUGAGGACGAGGCCGACUAUUACUGUAAUAUGUGGCACGAAAACAGUAAAACUUACACGGUGCUGCAGAGUCACGGGGAAGUGAGACUAAAGCCCUCCUGUGCUCUUUCUGCCUGUGGCUGUCACCCCUGAUCUGCCUG